rnacentral:rRNA from 1 species
AACGAACGCUGGCGGCAGGCCUAACACAUGCAAGUCGAGCGAGGACUUCGGUCCUAGCGGCGGACGGGUGAGUAACGCGUGGGAACGUGCCCUUUGCUACGGAAUAGCCCCGGGAAACUGGGAGUAAUACCGUAUGUGCCCGAGAGGGGAAAGAUUUAUCGGCAAAGGAUCGGCCCGCGUUGGAUUAGGUAGUUGGUGGGGUAAUGGCCUACCAAGCCGACGAUCCAUAGCUGGUUUGAGAGGAUGAUCAGCCACACUGGGACUGAGACACGGCCCAGACUCCUACGGGAGGCAGCAGUGGGGAAUCUUAGACAAUGGGGGAAACCCUGAUCUAGCCAUGCCGCGUGAGCGAUGAAGGCCUUAGGGUUGUAAAGCUCUUUCAGUGGGGAAGAUAAUGACGGUAUCCGGAGAAGAAGCCCCGGCUAACUUCGUGCCAGCCGCCGCAGUAAUAC